rnacentral:rRNA from 1 species
AGAGUUUGAUCCUGGCUCAGAACGAACGCUGGCGGCAGGCUUAACACAUGCAAGUCGAACGAGAAGCCGGACUUCGGUCUGGUGGAGAGUGGCGCACGGGUGAGUAACGCGUGGGGAUUUACCCAGCAGUACGGGAUAACAUCGGGAAACCGGUGCUAAUACCGCAUACGCCCUUCGGGGGAAAGAUUUAUCGCUGUUGGAUGAACCCGCGUAAGAUUAGAUAGUUGGUGGGGUAAUGGCCUACCAAGUCGACGAUCUUUAGCUGGUCUGAGAGGAUGAUCAGCCACACUGGAACUGAGACACGGUCCAGACUCCUACGGGAGGCAGCAGUGGGGAAUAUUGGACAAUGGGCGCAAGCCUGAUCCAGCCAUGCCGCGUGAGUGAUGAAGGCCUUAGGGUUGUAAAGCUCUUUCAUCGGUGAAGAUAAUGACGGUAACCGAAGAAGAAGCCCCGGCUAACUCCGUGCCAGCAGCCGCGGUAAUACGGAGGGGGCUAGCGUUGUUCGGAAUUACUGGGCGUAAAGCGCGCGUAGGCGGUUUUACAAGUUGGAUGUGAAAGCCCGGGGCUCAA